UACGAAGGGGGCUAGCGUUGCUCGGAAUCACUGGGCGUAAAGGGCGCGUAGGCGGAUCUUUAAGUCGGGGGUGAAAGCCUGAGGCUCAACCUCAGAAUUGCCCUUCGAUACUGGAGAUCUUGAGACCGGAAGAGGUAAGUGGAACUGCGAGUGUAGAGGUGAAAUUCGUAGAUAUUCGCAAGAACACCAGUGGCGAAGGCGGCUUACUGGUCCGGUUCUGACGCUGAGGCGCGAAAGCGUGGGGAGCAAACAGG
rnacentral:rRNA from 1 species